GGAAAAAGAGAGAGGGAGGAAGAGGGUGAGCUUGAAUUGUUAAAAAAUUGAGGGAAAAUGGGAGAUGGUUUGUUAACUAAGAAUGGGAGAAAGUAUAAGCAGAGUGAGCUGAAGACAAGAGGAGAAAUGGAAUUGAAUGAGGUCAAAGUAUUGCAUGGGUUAGGUGUGGUGAAGUUCUCGGAGACCGAGGCUUGUACCGAGGCUCCGGAUAAAGAUGAGUGUGACAGUAGGAGUGAAGUUUUGGGAAAAAGUGGACCCUUACCAUUUGGCUGAUCCAGUUGUGGUUUCAGGGUGGGUGAAAACAGAGUUGGAUGCUGUAGAAUCGUUGAAGUAAUGUUGAGAUAUAUAAGUUAUCCUGUACAAGCUUUUGUGCUGAAUACAUUACGUUGUUAGAGGUGUAAAGCUUAUGGACAGUAGUGCAUAAGCUGUCAUAUUCUAAGGCAGUGAAGAAAGUAGAGGAAGAUGUGUCAAGGGGCAGGGAUCCUGAGAGGACUGCUGAAACUAGUAGAUCUGUACCAGAACAGAGGGAGGGAUCCUGAGAGGACUGCUGUGACUAAUAUAUCUGUACCAGAACAGAGGGAGGGAUCCUGAGAGGAGGGGUGUAGUAAAUCUGUACCAGAACAGAGGGAGGGAUCCUGAGAGGAGUGGUGUAGUAGAUCUGUACCAGAACAGAGGGAUGGAUCCUGAGAGGACUGGUGUAGUAGAUCUGUACCAGAACAGAGGGAGGGAUCCUGAGAGGAGGAGGGAUCCUGAGAGGACUGGUGUGACUAGUAGAUCUGUACCAGAACAGAGGGAGGGAUCCUGAGGACUGGUGUAGUAGAUCUGUACCAGAACAGAGGGAAGGAUCCUGAGAGGACUGCUGUGACUAGUAGAUCUGUACCAGAACAGAGGGAGGGAUCCUGAGAGGACUGGUGUAGUAGAUCUGUACCAGAACAGAGGGAGGGAUCCUGAGAGGAGGGGUGUAGUACAUCUGUACCAGAACAGAGGGAGGGAUCCUGAGAGGACUGGUGUGACUA
ensembl:lncRNA